rnacentral:rRNA from 1 species
UACUGACGCUAAAGCUCGAAGGUGCGGGUAUCGAACAGGAUUAGAUACCCUGGUAGUCCGCACGGUAAACGAUGGAUGCCCGCUGUUUGCGAUAUACUGUGAGCGGCCAAGAGAAAUCGUUAAGCAUCCCACCUGGGGAGUACGCCGGCAACGGUGAAACUCAAAGGAAUUGACGGGGGCCCGCACAAGCGGAGGAACAUGUGGUUUAAUUCGAUGAUACGCGAGGAACCUUACCCGGGCUUGAACUGCAGGGGAACGAUCCAGAGAUGGUGAGGUCAGCAAUGACCCCUGUGGAGGUGCUGCAUGGUUGUCGUCAGCUCGUGCCGUGAGGUGUCGGCUUAAGUGCCAUAACGAGCGCAACCCCUUUCAUUAGUUGCCAUCACUUCGGGUGGGCACUCUGGUGAUACUGCCACCGUAAGGUGUGAGGAAGGUGGGGAUGACGUCAAAUCAGCACGGCCCUUACGUCCGGGGCUACACACGUGUUACAAUGGGUGAUACAGAGGGCCGGUGCAUGGCAAUGUGCAUCAAAUCUUAAAAGUCAUCCUCAGUUCGGAUUGGGGUCUGCAACCCGACCCCAUGAAGCUGGAUUCGCUAGUAAUCG